AGACACGGUCCAGACUCCUACGGGAGGCAGCAGUGGGGAAUAUUGGACAAUGGGCGAAAGCCUGAUCCAGCCAUGCCGCGUGUGUGAAGAAGGUCUUCGGAUUGUAAAGCACUUUAAGUUGGGAGGAAGGGUUGUAGAUUAAUACUCUGCAAUUUUGACGUUACCGACAGAAUAAGCACCGGCUAACUCUGUGCCAGCAGCCGCGGUAAUACAGAGGGUGCAAGCGUUAAUCGGAAUUACUGGGCGUAAAGCGCGCGUAGGUGGUUUGUUAAGUUGGAUGUGAAAUCCCCGGGCUCAACCUGGGAACUGCAUCCAAAACUGGCAAGCUAGAGUAUGGUAGAGGGUGGUGGAAUUUCCUGUGUAGCGUGAAAUGCGUAGAUAUAGGAAGGAACACCAGUGGCGAAGGCGACCACCUGGACUGAUACUGACACUGAGGUGCGAAAGCGUGGGGA
rnacentral:rRNA from 1 species